rnacentral:lncRNA from 1 species
GCAAAGGACAGGGAUGGGACCCAGCCCAGGAAGGCGUCGUCUCGCCUCCUCGCCCCGCGCGGCUAAAGCCGGACCGUGCGGGGCCAGGGGUAGAGAACGGCCCCUCGCCGGGACUUGAACGCCAGACCCACGGAGCCCACGGCAAGUCCGCUCCGCUCGGAAAAUAUAGACCUUUUCAUCCCGCACUCAUGACCCUCUCCUUUCCCCCAAAAUAUAAACAACUCGAGGGCGGAGGCCAGGGAACUGCCGCCCGGCUUUACGUAACUUGACCCACAGGCGGGCGGCGGCAGGUGGCUGCACCCGGCGAGCAAGGUGCUCGAAGCCCCGAGAACGCAGGACGCCGCUCGGGCAGCGAGACGGCCGGGAAGCACGAGAGGCCGGGGAGCGGCGGCGGCGGCCUCCUUACCUUUCCAGAUGCCCAGAGAGAGCUGGGACGUGUCCAAGUCCACCACAUAGUCCCCCAAGAACCGGUUCAACACGUCCACGACCACCGACUCGAAAACCAUGUUCCUCAGCCGUGGUGGGCACGGCAGCCGGCCCGUGCGCUCCUCCUCCCGCCGCCUUCCCCACGCCCCUCCCUCGAGAGUAACACGCUUCCCUGCAGAUAAGAGUUGGAGUCAGCCGGUCUGGAAACUGCUGAACACCCUCCAAGAAAUACUGGGAGUGCUGGACCCUUGACCCCUAUGCCUCCACCGAACCACUGACCUAAAAUAAAUUACAAUUACAGAUCUUUCGACCUGUUUGGUCUUACUUAGAAGUAAUCCCAAAGGCCUGAGGUCACAGAGAUGCUAAAUGUGAGGUUUAGAGAACUGUAAUUAAUCAUCUGCAGGACCGAAAAAGUGUACAUUGAGCGUUUUCUCUUUACACGUUAAAUGAAUAAUGAUGGAUUUCUAUUAAUUCCUGUGUCA